UACGGCGGGGGCUAGCGUUGUUCGGAAUUACUGGGCGUAAAGCGCACGUAGGCGGCUUUGUAAGUUAGAGGUGAAAGCCCAGGGCUCAACCCUGGAAUUGCCUUUAAGACUGCAUCGCUUGAACAUCGGAGAGGUAAGUGGAAUUCCGAGUGUAGAGGUGAAAUUCGUAGAUAUUCGGAAGAACACCAGUGGCGAAGGCGACUUACUGGACGAUUGUUGACGCUGAGGUGCGAAAGCGUGGGGAGCAAACAGG
rnacentral:rRNA from 1 species